UGCUCGAUCCUCGACAUAUAUAUAUAUAUAAAUAAAAUUGUUACUGUAAAUCUUGACUGAGUAUGAUGGCACGAAUCCUAGCAUUUCUCCGUUGCAAUCUAAUGAUCUGUUGUAAAAUAAACCACGAAUGGAACCAAUGAGAGAUGUUAUACUUUGAAUAAUGAUUGUAUUAUUACGUCCAAGUGUUUCAAUGGCAAACAUACUUAGAUGUAAUUUGGAAGAAAUAGAUAAAAAUGAUCUCAGAUUUCAAGCUACACAAAUGACGUAACAUUAUCGACGUGACUAAAAAGUCUUUCGUAAGUCGAUUUAAAUGAAAGCUUCACUAAAAUAUACGAAAACGCAAGAUAAGACACGUUUAAAGAAUGACAGAUUAUAAAUAUCAAAUAAUACAACAAUCAAGGAUACUUUUUAAAGCUUGCAACACUGUGAACAACGAACCAUAGGUAAACACAAAAUCGUCAAAUUAUUAAUUUAAAUGGAUUAAAAUCAAGAUCAGGUAUUGAUCCAACUUUAUUACUAUGAUUUAGCAAAUAGAAAUAGAAUAUCUUCAGAUCCAAAUGUCAAGCUGGAACAGCAAGUAGCACAGAUGAAAGCUCAGCUUGCAGCUCUCACAGCUUCCAAACCUCAUUCAGCAGAAAAUGAAGACUUUGAGCUGACAGAUCAAAUAAACCAGUCGAAUGAUACAGACUACGAAGAAUUUCGAGAAUUUAUUUAAGGACGCUACUACGUGACUGUUAUGAUGAUUUUUGAUAAGUUUAAUUAAAAAAUAUUCAAUAAA